rnacentral:rRNA from 1 species
UACAGAGGGGGCAAGCGUUGUUCGGAAUUACUGGGCGUAAAGGGCGCGUAGGCGGCCUUCUAAGUCGAACGUGAAAUCCCCGGGCUCAACCCGGGAACUGCGUCCGAUACUGGAAGGCUUGAAUCCGGGAGAGGGAUGCGGAAUUCCAGGUGUAGCGGUGAAAUGCGUAGAUAUCUGGAGGAACACCGGUGGCGAAGGCGGCAUCCUGGACCGACAUUGACGCUGACGGCGAAAGCUAGGGGAGCAAACGG